UACGUAGGCAGCAAGCGUUGUUCGGAGUUACUGGGCGUAAAGGGUGCGUAGGCGGCCCUGUAAGUAUGGUGUGAAAUCUCCCGGCUUAACUGGGAGGGUGCGCUAUAGACUGCGGGGCUCGAGUGUGGGAGAGGAAAGUGGAAUUCCUGGUGUAGCGGUGAAAUGCGUAGAUAUCAGGAGGAACACCGGUGGUGUAAACGGCUUUCUGGACCGACUUCUGACGCUGGAGAACACGAAAGCGUGGGUAGCAAACAGG
rnacentral:rRNA from 1 species